AUUGAACGCUGGCGGCAGGCCUAACACAUGCAAGUCGAACGGUAACAGGAAGCAGCUUGCUGCUUUGCUGACGAGUGGCGGACGGGUGAGUAAUGUCUGGGAAACUGCCCGAUGGAGGGGGAUAACUACUGGAAACGGUAGCUAAUACCGCAUAACGUCGCAAGACCAAAGAGGGGGACCUUAGGGCCUCUUGCCAUCGGAUGUGCCCAGAUGGGAUUAGCUAGUAGGUGGGGUAACGGCUCACCUAGGCGACGAUCCCUAGCUGGUCUGAGAGGAUGACCCGCCACACGGGAACUGAGACACGGUCCCGACUCCUAGGGGAGGCCGCAGUGGGAAAUAUUGCACAAGGGGCGCAAGCCUGAUGCAGCCACGCCGGGUGUAUGAAGAAGGCCUUCGGGUUGUAAAGUCCUUUCCGCGGGGGGGAAGGGAGGAAAUUUAACACCUUUGCUCUUUGCCUUUCCCCGCAGAAGAAGCCCCGCCUACCUCCGU
rnacentral:rRNA from 1 species